GCCAGGGAACUACGAGCCUUAGCUUAAAACCCAAAGGACUUGACGGUGACCCAUCCGACUAGAGGAGCCUGUUCUGCAACCGAUGAUCCCCGUUAUACCCAACCCCCCCUUGCUUUAUCAGCCUGUAUACCUCCGUCGUAAACUUACCGUAUGAGUGCCCUCGAGUGGGUUCAACGUUUUACUUCACCAAUACGUCAGGUCAAGGUGCAGCCUAUGGUGGGGCAAGCAAUGGGCUACAAUUUCUAAUCUAGAACAUACGAAAUACUGCAUGAAACACAGUUACGAAGGAGGAUCUAGUAGUAAAAAGAAAAUAGCGAGUUCUUUUUAAUACGGCCCUGGGACAUGUACACACCGCCCGU
rnacentral:rRNA from 1 species